GACAGAGGAUGCAAGCGUUAUCCGGAAUGAUUGGGCGUAAAGCGUCUGUAGGUGGCUUUUCAAGUCCGCCGUCAAAUCCCAGGGCUCAACCCUGGACAGGCGGUGGAAACUACCAAGCUGGAGUACGGUAGGGGCAGAGGGAAUUUCCGGUGGAGCGGUGAAAUGCAUUGAGAUCGGAAAGAACACCCGUGGCGAAGGCGGCCGGCUGGGCCGGGUCUGACGCUGAGGCGCGAAAGCGUGGGGAGCAAACAGG
rnacentral:rRNA from 1 species